rnacentral:rRNA from 1 species
CGGACGGGUGAGUAAUGUCUGGGAAACUGCCCGAUGGAGGGGGGUAACUAUUGGAAACGGUAGCUAAUACCGCAUAACGUCGCAAGACCAAAGAGGGGGACCUUCGGGCCUCUUGCCAUCGGAUGUGCCCAGAUGGGAUUAGCUAGUAGGUGGGGUAACGGCUCACCUAGGCGACGAUCCCUAGCUGGUCUGAGAGGAUGACCAGCCACACUGGAACUGAGACACGGUCCAG